UACGUAGGUGACAAGCGUUGUCCGGAUUUACUGGGCGGAAAGAGCGCGCAGGCGGUCGAUCAAGUCGAGUGUGAAAGCCCCCGGCUCAACUGGGGAGGGUCAUUCGAUACUGAUCGACUCGAAGGCAGGAGAGGGUAGUGGAAUUCCCGGUGUAGUGGUGAAAUGCGUAGAUAUCGGGAGGAACACCAGUGGCGAAGGCGACUACCUGGCCUGUUCUUGACGCUGAGGCGCGAAAGCUAGGGGAGCAAACGGG
rnacentral:rRNA from 1 species